CUUUAAUCGGAGAGACCGCCGUUUUACUCUCAAGUUGUGUUUCGUCAAAGGUCUUAUUUGCGGAAAAGUUAAUGUCUCCAAAUACAAUAGAAAUUGAAAGGAAACCCAGUAGGUAGGGUUUUCCAACAGCCGUCACUAUGUCCCGCAUUUUGCAAAAUGCCCAAUUUCUUUACAAGCGCGAACUGUAUUAAUAGUGUUGCGAGUAAAUAGUGUGGUUGGGAGGUUAAUGUGGGUCACUUCCUCUUCUUCAUGCACUCCUCCGCCCUCCUUUAUUUUCGGGA
ensembl:ncRNA ZC449.9 ncRNA